rnacentral:rRNA from 1 species
AUGCUGGCUGUAGCGGGACGCUUAACUCUCACGAGUUCGGUUCUCAUGGCCCUCCCCAUCCAUUUUAUGUCAGUACUCCCUUUGCCUAUUUGGGCAAUCAAGAUUAUCGAGAGAAGGUGUAGAGGUUUUGUUUGGAAAGGGGAGGAAGACAUAAACGGCGGUCACUGCCUACUCCCCUGGACUCGGGUUUGCAGA